rnacentral:lncRNA from 1 species
GCAGAUCACUUGAGGUCAGGAGUUCAAGACCAGCCUAGCCAACAUGUUUUAAUCUCCUCAUAAAAGGAUAAGUGUCUUUUCUUCAGUCAUCUUAAUGUGUUAACCUGCACUUCAUAUCAUCAUGAUUUUAAAACAUGCAUUGAAUGCUGCUACAGUCCAAGAAUAACAACGCCUGUGGCCUCCAAGGAGUAAGGGACCCCUGGAACAUCAGCACCAGCAAAAGGAAGAGAGACACUCUCAGUUGUGGGGUGUCUCUCCCUGACUCAGCCCCCACCUCACUGAGGGUCUUCCAUCCCCACAGUUUCCAUCUCAGAUGCCC